CAGUUGUGGAAUAAUUCCAUAUUUCAUGAUUAUUCAAAAUCAUUUACAAAAAGCUGCAAAAAAUAACAAUAAUUCAUUCGAGGGCUGAAUUGUAUAUGAAGUUUGUCAAACGCCUAUGCUUGUUCGAUCUCGAAAAAAUAAAUUAUGAUGGAUUGGUUAGUAUCAUUACUAGUGAAGUUGUCUGGAGCGAGUUAUUAAAAAGUCUACAUUCAAUCGGCUUGGUGGACUAGUUUUAGACCAUGAAGCUCGAGCAUUGGCUUCAUUCCAUACGGGAGCUACAUCUUGGUCCGUUCGCGAUAAGCUUGCCAGAUUGCAACAAACAGCGACAAUUCUGAAUCUAGAGAGCCUGAGUAUUGGGAUUCGUCUUCAACAACAUGGCGUCUGACACCUAGCGAAGUCCGGACAAUUCUUGCGUUAAGGCUGGACUUCAAAAUAGCCGACAUAAAAAGUUGAAACUUUAAACGAGGAAUGUAAGUAUUUCUGGGA